GCAUGUCGUCAGUGUCUCAGCGAAACUGUCCUCGUGUUUCUGCAACAAACGGGACAAUUAUCGACUUUCGACCUUUUAAAAACGGGAAAUGGACUUAAAUCAAACAAAGUCUGAGAGUUUGCUUUUCUGGCUGCCGUAAAGGAUGACAGUUUGUCAGUUAGUAAGUGACGAAGAGGAGUCAGCACGUGACCAACGACAAGUGACAGGACAACAACAACAACAACGACAAGUGACGAGGACAACAACAACAACAACAACAAGUGACGAGGACAACAACAACAAGUGACGAGGACAACAACCGGAACUGACAGAAAGAAAGAAGACGAACUUCAAAAACCACCAGGGUCCAUGUCCACAAGUGAUCCAUGAAUAAAGACACGGACGGACGGAGACACAGAGACAGCCUGAGGACGAGGACGAGGAGCCAGAUCUGAUGCAUGGAGCUGCAAAAUCAGACUCAGAGAUGGAGGAGGAGGAGGAGGAGGAGGGAGAAGAAGAGGAGACGACAGGAGACGUCAGGACAUGAGAUUGUGACAAGCGUUGCAGGAGGUCGUCCGCGCACGGACACAAAUGUGAUCCCCGAGCAGCUGUUUGAGUCUGGGCUCGUCCUCUGUAGACAAACAUCUGCGCCUCAUCUCCACACUUUGACGGGAAAAGCAGGACUUCGGCUCCUUCUGCUCCUCUUCCUCCUCCUCCUCCUCCUCAUUCCUGCGUUUCUCUCUGAUGUUUGUUUUCGUCUCGCGUCCAUCUGCUCCUGAUGAUUUCUGGAACACGGCGUUUAAUCGACAGGAGCAGGAGGACGUGCAGAGGAAACUCAUUUAGCCCUGUGUUAUUAUUGUGUGUGUGUGUGUGUGA